CCUACCCCGGCCUCCAACCGCCGCCCUCACCUCCCGCCCCACCGCGUCGGCCACUGGAUCGACAUCGGCCGCCGCCCCACAGCCUCCACCCUCGGGUCCCCGAGAGCAGCCAUGGCGCCCCGUCAGAUCUGGCCUUUGUCGUGCAUGUAGCCGCCCCUCCAAGGCCGCCGGACUCCGCCGCUCCCCAGGCCGCCAGUGCCCCUACUCCCCUCCACAGGCCGCCGCCGCGCCGCCCAUCCACGGGGUCCGGUGCCGGGGAGGGAUGCGGUGGUAUCCUCGGGGGGGCGAGGAUGGGUGGUGGUGGUUCAAGGCGGGGAGGAGACCCGCACCGUCGUCUCGCCUGGGCCCGCACCUUCGCGGCCCAGCCUUCUCCGUUCCCCUACCUCCCGCAGAGACGCCGGAUCUGUGAGCCAGCGGCAUGUCCCAUGCGUCCCGAAGCUCAACCGCCAAGGAUUCGUGAUUUCUUCUGUUGUUGCGCUCUUCCUCGACCCCGACGAGUGCACUUCCUCAACCUAGAAAGAGUGGUGCAGUUCGGUUGGUCCCCCCCUCUCUGAACCCCCUCUUCCACCAACCUUCUGUCGGCGUCAGUCCCACGGCUUCAGCCGUGACCAUCUACCUCCCCUCGAUGAACUGCAUCGCCACCGGUGUCGCUGCUCACAUCAGUGUUACUCCAAAAGAUGAGGUUCAGUUUCUUGCAUUCUGACGGCCACGCCGACGUGUGUGUGCGCGGGUGCAGCUUGCAAAAAGCCCCCAAAAUCAACUCAGUUGGUGCUGAGUGUGGGGUUUGAUUUUUUUUUCCUACAAAAGAUGUGCUCUGGUGAAGUUCAUUGCUGAUGUAUCUCUAGUGCAGUUUUCAGAUAGGUGCUACUGCCUUCUGCACUCCUUCUUUGAUCCACUAUGGAGGCAAAAAACAAGAAAGGAAAUAUUCUUGUUUAGAAGACCACUUGUGAAUUUGAUGUGUUCAAGAGCGAGUUGUACAGAUUUGGGUCCUAGAGGGAAAGUAGUUUGGAUGUGUAGUUUUUUUUGUGUCUGGAAGCAUUAUUUUUUGACACAUUUCACUCGCUUGCCAUGUGCAGUAAGAGACUACAAAAGAAAAUGCAGUGCACUCUUGUCUACAGUACACCAUUUAUAAAAAAUGUAUUAAAAAAGUGCACUC